GCGGCGUUAGCUUCAAUUGGAUAGAGCGCUGCGCUUCGGACGCAGAGGUUGUGAGUUCGAGUCUUACACGCCGCACCA
rnacentral:tRNA from 2 species